rnacentral:rRNA from 1 species
UGUAGCCUACGGGGGGCAGCAGUGAGGAAUAUUGGUCAAUGGACGAGAGUCUGAACCAGCCAAGUAGCGUGAAGGAUGACUGCCCUAUGGGUUGUAAACUUCUUUUAUAUGGGAAUAAAAUGUUCCACGUGUGGGAUUUUGUAUGUACCAUAUGAAUAAGGAUCGGCUAACUCCGUGCCAGCAGCCGCGGUAAUACGGAAGGUCCGGGCGUUAUCCGGAUUUAUUGGGUUUAAAGGGAGCGUAGGCCGGUCUUUAAGCGUGCCGUGAAAUUUUGUGGCUCAACCAUGAGAGUGCGGCGCGAACUG